GCUUACUCAUGCAAGUCGAACGGUGAUCAGUCUCAUCUUGUGGUGGGUUGCAUGAGCUACGGGUGAGUUACUCACUGGGCAAGCUGCCUCGCCGCUCUGGGAUGGAUCCCUGAUAUUGAAGGAUAAUUCCUGAUGUGACCGCUGGUCUCUUGGUUCUGGAUGGAGCGUAAGAGGGUUUACCAGCUUGUCAUUGGCCCACGGACUUUCAUCUUGUUAGUGGGGUAGUGGCGCGUAACAGGUCACCACGGGUACCAUGCCUGGGCAAGGUGACCAGGCUCAUUGGGCACUGCAUACGACUGACACACUCCUCCGACACGCACCAGAGGGGACUAUUGCGCAUCGUCCGGAAUCCUGACAACCCUACCCCACCUGCGGCAUGACAGUCUUCAAGGUGUUCACAUCUUUCAGCUCUGACGAAACCUUUGACUGUGUACUGUGACUGCAAAAUAAACACCAUCACAGUACCUUCCCGCAGCCGCACUGAU
rnacentral:rRNA from 1 species